GUUGAAUUGUAUUAAAUGCAUCAUUCGUGGUCUCAAAAAGUCACAUUAAAAAGAAAAAAUAAUAAUUGACCGCGUAGUUUUUGAGUUAUGGCCAUAGCAACACCAUAGCAACGAGGGACGCGCCGUCCUGCCGACCGCUACCUCAUGACGUAACUUCCAGGAAGCUUCGUCAGUGUCGCCACCACUCUGAACACGGAAAUAUAGCACCACGCUAUCCUCGCCAUUUAUUGCAAGCCUUUUCUGGGUUUUACUCGCGGGAUUCGUCAUGCCAUCUCGAUGAGUAGCGAUGAAUUGCUCACAGGAAGACUCGAGACUCUAGGAGUGGUCCAAAAAAACUUCUCCUGCAAAGCCACAACAGCUUUGAAAACCUACAACAAUGCAACCUUGGUUUUACAAAUAUGAAGCCAAACAUUAAAAAUUAAGCGGUGGAAACCGUCAACACGAUGAAAAAAGCGUUGCAAGUCAGUCGCCACCCAGUUUCUCAAAAUCAAGAGAGAGUGGGUCGAGUCAUAUGAUGACCCAAGUGAUGCGGUGUCCAGCGAUGACGACUGAAGAGAUCCUAUGAGGCCUGCCAGAUGCUGAAUUUCUUCUGUCUGCGACAUCAGAUGAUGAUGACUUAGGAGAAAUAAAUGUAGCAAAUUUUGAUGAGAUGAAAUCAUAAACUAGUCAUAUAUACAGUACACAUUUUUAAAAGAAAAAAUACCUUCACAUUUUAAUGAUAAUGCAUUAUCUUUGUAUAGAGAACACUUAAUGCUACAGAAAAGAGUAAAUACAGUGGUACCUCUACAUACGAAGUUAAUCCGUUCCAGGAGCUUGUUUGUAAGUCGAAAUGGUCGUAUGUCGAGCAGGAUUUUCCCAUAGGAAUACAUUAUAAUUCCAUUAAUUCGUUCCACAGCCCAAAAACCUGCACUAAAUCCUUAAAAAAUACUGCUGGUACUAUUACAAAUGGCAAUUACAUAUAGCAAAACAAAAAAAUAAUAACUAAAAAUCGGAUUAAUAAUAUAAUAAUAAUAAUAAUUCCUGUAAUAGUGUAACGAAACGGGUUCUAAUAAGGCGGACGUUUUUUUCUGUACCUGAAGGCACCGCGGCGCUGACGUGACAAAGAGGGAGGGGAGCGGGUGAAAGUUUACUUUCGCUUUCAAUGCUUUCUUGAGAACAUCGUCAAUUGUGGCAGACAGCAGGCGUUUUGUGUUGAAUAAGUUGUGAAAGAAAUGAUGAAAACGUGGCGAAGCUGGCGAUUUCUCUGGAGAUGUUACCACAAUAAGAAUUGUCAGCUUAAUUUAUAAAGACUGGCGAACGAUGGUCGGAGGAGGAAAGUGGAGAUGUAUUGUUGAGCCAUUUCACGGAUGCCCACCCUACGCUCAUAUUUUUCUGUCAUUUGCAUCUUCAUUUAGAAGGUAAGCUUCAACUUUUUCCUUGUUUCACCACCUGUACCAACCUUUUCUGAAACGUGUUGAUUUGUCACACAAGAAAAUCCGCCGUGCAUUCGUUUGCGGUGCUGCCAUUGUCGUCGUAUUUCGAGCAUGUCGUCGGAUGUAGAAAC